UUUAACUUAGGCUCUGAUACUCUGAUUUGAGUGAAAGUAGUUUAUUUUGGAGGGAGACCCCAGGAAGCAUUCUAAGGGAAUGGGAAGUAAGACAGAGAAAGGGGGAAAGUCAACAGGCAAUGUGUUAACAAGCAGAUUAUCCCUACUGUCCAAUGGGACUCAGUCUCCCUGGGGACCCUCAGAGACAAUGGGUGGAAGACACCUUAGAACUGAUGCAUAGAGGGACAUGAAAGCUGAGGUAUUCAUUCAUCAGUUCCUAUCCCUCACCUUUGAUGGUCACUCCUGGGACAUUAACUCCCUGGAAUUUCACAUCUGACUGCAUAUGCCCUGCAGCCAACCUUACUCUAGUGGCCACAGAAUGACCUCAGUCAGAAACAUGCAGAAGCUGUAUUCACAUGUAGGAAGUGUCUGCAGACAAUUUCAGUAGAAGGCCAAAGGAAUACGAGUGGGUCAGCAAAUCACCACACCCCAAACUGGAUUCAAGGGCUUAACUUCCAAACCUGCUCUUCCUCCUGGGUUUCUUGUUUCAGUAAAUGAUCUCACUAUCAAUCCAUUGUCCAAGCCAGAGACCUGAGCAAUCUCAGUGUCACACUAAAUUCCUUUCUUUCCUAUUUCAUCCAUGUCACAUCUGUCACCAAGUCCUGUCAAUUCUACCUUCUAAACUUUUCUCAUAUCUGCCCAUCUGUGCCUUCUACAGCCAAUAGUGACCAUAAUCUCUUAUCCAGAUACCUACAUAACCCCUGUCCUAGUCUUUCCAUCUUUUAUCUCCAGACUUUGUCUCUCCCAAUCUCUAUUCAACAUAGCAAUCAGAGUGGCCUCUAGAAACAAAUCCAGUCAUGCCACUUCCCUCCUAAAGACUAUUCAGCUAGUAUUUCCAUGGAAAUAGAGGCCACACUUUCUAACACAUUUUGCUAGAUUGUCCAUGACUUUCGAUUUGUUUACCACUUUAGAUCUCUCUUCGUUAUCUGUGCAAUUACUUUCUACUCUCAGUCCUUCAAAUAUGUCACGUUCUCUCCAACGUCAGCACCUUUGCUUGUUCUGUCUUUCUCUACUUAAGACUGACUGUCUCUGAGGUCUCAAUUACAAAUUACUUCUUUCAGGAAGUCUUCCCUGAUCUCCCCUGCCUUGAGAUUUCCAUACUACCCUGUGUGUUCUCAUCAUGACAUUUCUCACACUAAAUUGUAGGCUGUUUACCCAUAAUAGACCCACCUCCCUUCCCCAAUAUUGAGAACUCUAUUAGAUGAGGGGCUAUGUUAGUCUAUUGUUCUAUUAUUGGUGCAUAGUAGGAAUAAUACAUAUCUGUCAGAAACAGGUCUCUCCUUCCUAUGGCACAAGCAAUAAAUAUGUAAAUUUGGUUGGCUGUUGACUCUUUUCCAAAUACCUGAAAUCUGAGAGGCCAAACUAGUUUCUAUAUUUGAAUAGCACAUAGCAAAGAAAGGCCUCUCUUUGAAGUCAGUGGGCCAGGAGAAACUGUAAGAUUAAUAGACCUACCUCCCACCUGCUGCUGGAGGAAUUUAUCAUAACUCUGAAGAGUAUCCAAGAAGAUAUGUUUCCCGGAAAAAUCAAACCAAUGAUCUUUCCAGAGCCACUACUUUUAGUAACCCAGUACAAUCGGUCUAUUCAUCUUUCUGGUAAUGAUUUUUUUCUCCUCAAAGCUCUCAAUUCAUUUUCCAUUGCUGACAUGUAAUCCAGAAAUAAUAGAGGUCGGUUUAGUAUAACUCAUAUCCAAAAAGGGAAAGUGCCAACACCCUGAAAGAAAAGCUCUGAAUUAAAUAUUCCCGCAAAUAAUUCUCAGCAAUUCAGGGGAUACAAAAAGGCCUAUUCAGUUGUAGAGGAUAUUUCUUUUUGUUGUUUAUUAUAAAUAUGGUUUUCCAGUAGAAAAAAAUUAUGUUUGAAAAUACCGCGUUGGCACAGUCUUUGUAAUUACAUCCCAGGAUUCAAAUGUGAACAUUUUUUUCUAGUUCUGUUUUCUCAUAAAGUUCUAUUCAGAGGUUCUAAAAUUUGAAACAAUCUUUAAAAGCUGUAAAUGUUGGCAUGUGCAGUCAAAGCCAAUGAACAGAAACCCAGUGAGCAUAUAACAUUAGCAAGAAAUAAACCUUUGUUGUUUUAGCUACUAGGAUUUGGGGUUCUUUGUUUCUAUAGAAGGAGUGAUAAUUUCCUGUCAACUCUCUCAGUUCAAAAGCAGUUGAGAAGUGGAAAGAAGAAUCAGACAAUUGGAGAACAAAAUACUCAAUCCUAUUACUCAGAUGGCCAGUUUGAAGAAUAGACAUAGAAAGCAGCCACAAUCGGGUUCUUUAGUAACUUCUUCACUGCAUUCACCUGACCUAUCCCAAACUUCAAGUCUGCCGGUUACAAGGCCAGAUCCUGAUGUAGAAAGCUCACCUCGUGGAGAAACAGAACGAGAAAUUCUCAGUGAGAGGUAGGGCAGAGAAAGAGAACAGUAAAGCACAGGGGCUGCACUGAGCACAUGUUCAGUUCCUUUUCCACAUUCACCACAGAGAUAACGCACACCUCCAAGGGAGCAUUCCCACACAUGCCCAUCCUGAGAGGAGGAACUUGUUCACCAGGAUGGAAAAACUCACAAUUGAAAUAAUGGAAUAUUGAUCCAAUUAAGCCCAAGAGCAAAAGCUAAAAGAACUUACAGGGUCUUCCUCUACCUGAAAUCAGUUUUUAAAAAUGCCCAGCUUUGUAGAUACUAAGUUCAUGCAAUGUGACCUCUGUCCUGGGACAGAGAGAGUGCACGGCCAUCUAUCUCCAGAGAAAGCAGGAUCCUGUACUGUUUCUGGAAUUGUGAGAUGCUGAGUCAAAUAAAACCAUACCUGGGUGAUAAAUAGACUCAUCUGAGCUCUAAGACCAGAUCUGAAGGAGAAAAAGUCCUAACGGACAAUCUGGAUGGAGGAAUGUGAGAGACUGUCCUAUUAUUUUGACUUAAUAAAGACAGAAAGCUAUGGGCCUGAUUACAGGCAUAUCAGCCUCGAGGAUUAUAGUCACUGAUGAUAGAACCAUAUACUUGAUUGCAUUUGCCUUCCUCAAUGGCUGCUUUCCUCAUUUACCAAAUGAAUGAUGUUUAAACCUGGGAUUUUAUUGUAGGUUUCACUACAGGAGUAGUAUGGAAUUUGCCUUAGUUCAUUGCUGAGGAAAUGGCUGACAUGGAAGCUAGGGGAGAAGAAGGAAUGAUGUAGUGACCCCUUGGAAAAAACAACCAACUAAUCCUAUGAUUGUCAUGUGAGAUUUAUCAACUGAGUAAUAAACAUGUGUUUGACUUCCAAAACAACAAAUGAUUUUGGCCUCUGCCAAGUUGUAAAACACACACAUACACACACACACACACACACACACACACACACACACACACACUCUUACAGAAAGUCAGGAUAGUAGAUAGAUAAAUAGGAAGGAAGGAAAAAAAAGAAAGGGGUAGUGUUUUUCCUCCUUUUAACAAAUUUAUAAACCAUAUAACAAAUUGAGUCAUUUUUGGUCCAAUGCCUUUUUUAUGUGUAACAACUAAGAAACCACGAGGUCAUCAUGUGAAAAGGAAGAGUCUGGGGUUACAUCUUAAAUUGUAAUUAUUUUCUUUCCAUGACUAGUAGAGAAAAGCUUUUCAUAUUAGCAUAUUUUUGUAAAACAGUCUGCUUCAACCGAUCCUAGGACAUCACUUGGAUGAACUACACAGAAGCUAGGAAACUUCAGGACACUGAUCUAGAUGCUGGGGAUACAGUCGUGAACAAGACUGAAAACCUUCCUGUACUCAUGGAGCUGAUAAUCUGGUGGAAAACAAACGAAUAGUGAUGAUCAUUCUAAAUACAGUCUGGAGAAAAAGACUGUAUAGGGGAACCGUGGAUGCAGGUCUGUAGAUGCACUGUUGGUAAUCGAGGUGAGAAGUGACAGCGGUUUGGACUAGGGUGUGGGGGGAGAGGUUGUGAAAAGUGCCCAGACUUUUGAAGGUGGAGCUGGCAGAACUUGUUGAUGUACUUGGGUGUGAGAAAAAAGGUGAAUAAAGGCUAACACUCCCCUACCCCAGGGUGAAUGGUACGCCCAUUUACUAAGAUGGUGAAAGGCUGGGGGAGGAGAAGGUUUGGCACUUAUUAUUUGCUGAAUGAUCCAGUAAAUCCAACAAUCAAUGAUGGUCCAGAGUGAGGUAAGAUGAUAAGUGCAUGUAGUGGCCGGGAAUCAUUCUAGAUCAUCAGAGAAUUUCAGGCAUUGGGGUAUAGAAACCCUCGAAAAAAGAAAAUUUACGAGUGCCGUGGCAGAAAGAAAAUUAGCUAGUAGUUAGCACUGGACUGAAGCUCAGAACAUUUUCAGGGUUUGAAAUAAGGGAUGGAAGAGAAAGGAUUAGGCAUUUCCCCCUAAGGCCUCUAACUUUUACGUUGACCAUGUUCCUCCAUUGAUCUACUAUUUUAGACGCUCAAGAAAGUAAAUUUUUUUCUUGAUUGUGUAGGAAUAAGCUGCCCCUUCAGCUGGAACAGGGAGCUAGAGUAUCUCUCCACCCAAGUUUUACAGGCUUUCACCCAAAUCUAGCAUUGGCAUAUGUUGCCUAAUAAGAAAAGCACAACACUUCCUGAAUUGGCUUAACUCCAUCUCACACGUGAACCUUGCUGUAGCCACAUAAGUAAACCAUGCUUAUAGCAGAUGGCGGAGGUGUAGUUUCCAUUUGAGCAAACUGUCUUUCACUCUUCUCAGCUGUAUGCAUUCAAGCAACUGCCAAGAGUAAGUUAAGUUUCCUUAUUUUAUUUUGCACAUAUGUAAUUUUAAAAUUCUUUAUUUUGAAAACUUUAAAGUUCCAGAGCAUUGCCAAGAAUUGUACAAUGAACUCUCAUAUACUCUUCCUCUAGACUAAUUGCUGGCAUUCUGCUAUAUUUGCCUUACCACCAUCUCUUUAGAUGUAUAUAUUCAUAUAACUACACAUACACGUGUAUUAUUAUUACUGCUAUUUGUGUUGUGGAACCACUUAGUGUAAGUUAUAGAUACCAUAACCCUUUAUCUUUUCCUGAUGUAUUUCCUGAUAUUCUCUUAUAUAACCAUAGACAAUGACCAGGUCCAGUAAAUUUAACUUUGAUACCCAUUACCAUCUAAUGCACAGUCCAUAUUCAAAUUGUACUUGAUGUCCUAGUAAUGGCCUUUAUAGCUUUUUUUCUUCUGAUUCAUUGCACUGUAUUUAGUUGUCACCUUAUGACAUAUUUGAUGUUCUUCUUUUCCUGUCUCUAUAGUCAUAACUUAUGUUGUAAGUCUUUCCCUCCCUUAUUUAAGUCACUAAGCCAUUAACCAUUUAAGGGGAGGGGAGGACAAGUCUAGGGGAGGACAAAAAAGUAGAGAAGAAAUUUCCCAUUAUGUUAUUUCUUAAGAAGACAAUACUUUCAUUCAUGACAUGACAAGACUAUAGCUUGAAAGCUUCAAGUGUGAAAUAAGGUAUAUGUAAGAGCUCAAGGAAUUUAGAGAAUAAGGGAGGAAAGAGAAAAAGGAAGGAGGAAAAGGAAGAAGGAGAGACAGAGAGGGAAAGAGAGGGAGAGGGAGAGAGAGGGGGAGAGAGAGAGAGAGGCAGAAGCACCAUAGGGUCAGGGUUAGCCUCCAACUUAGAGAGCCCAACUCUCUGAGGUGGGCUGGGCAUUUCUUUACUGGAUACUAAAGUAGGAGUGUAACCUGCACCAAAGGUUUUAAUUCAUGUAAUUCUACCUUGGUCCUUAGGUUGAGAGUCAUUGUAACACAAUCCAAAAACAUCACGGUAAGCCAAACAAACUGCUCAUCCUGUGCAUUCUUCUGAUGUUGGUUGGAUCUAUUUUGGUUUGCAGGUUUGAGACGUCUAUAUUGACCUCAAAACACAUCAUUCUACGUAUGCAUUCCCAGUAGGGGCAAUCCUCCAGGGAAAAUUUAGUUUACUGUUCAGUAAAUCUGUGAGUAACAUAUUUCCAUUCAUUACACCAAGGUAUCUCAGCCUCAGCACUAUUGACAUUUUGGGAUAGGACCAUUGUUGGCACUACCACCAUUCUUUGUUAAGGGGAUAUCCUAAGUUUUAAAGGUGUUUAGUACCAUUAUUUGCCUCUACUCACUAGAUACCAGUAGCACCUACCCCAUUGUGAUAACCAUAACAUAUCUCCAGAGGUUGCCAAAUGUCCUUUGCAGGGUUAAAAUCAGCCCACUGAGAACCACAUUAGAUGGAACUCCACAUUAGAUGGGGCCAUUUCUGAUUAACUUAUUAUUGUGUGAUAAGCACCAUGUUUGCUACAGAAUAAGUACGUGGUAAAGAGCAAGCUAGUGAAUUAAAGUGCUAUAUUUGUGCUAAUUUGCUCAGUAUCCCUAUUAUGUUUGUAUUCCGUUGUCUCCACUACAGACUUUCUCAGGGAUUGAACAAGGAAGGGCUGGCUUGGCUCCAUGUAAUCUUUAUGAUGAAAAUACAUUUCAAUUAAUAUUCAAAGUCCUCGUUGACCCAUCAAAUGCAGAUGAAUAAAUACAACCCAGUAUGCAAUUACUGAUCUUCCUCAACUGAUGAUAGAAUUACGGGCUGAUAAGCCCGUAAUUUAUGAUAAGCCCAUCAUAAAUUGAGACUAUUAUAAGUCGAAAAUGCAUUUAAUACACCUAGCCUGCCAAACAUCAUAGCUUAGCCUUGCCUAUCUUAAAUGUGCUUAGAACACUUACCUUAGCCCACAGGAGGACAGUAUCAUCAAACACAAAGCCUAUUUUAUAAUGAAGUGAUGACUGUCUCAUGGAACUGAUUGACUAUUGUACUGAAAGUGAAAAUCCGAAUGGCUACAUGGAUACACGGCGGUUGUAAGUGUAUUGCUUGUUUGCCCUCGUGACUGUAAGGCCGGCUGGGAGCUGCAGCCCGCUGCCCAGAUCACAAGAGAGGAUCCUAUCGUGUAUCACUAGCCUGGGAAAAGAUCCAAUUUCAAGUUUCAAAGUACAGUUCCAAGUGAAUGCAUAUCACUUUCACAUCAACAUAAGAAAAAUUAAAAAUUGACAUAUGAAAAAUCAUUAAGUCCAACCAUAUUUAGCUGGGGACCAUCUGUAUGUUCAGAUCUAUUCAUUUCAUUUAUUAAA